AACCUAGCUGACCAAUCUUUAAAUUUUUGUUUUUAAUUUUCGAAAUACAUAUAUGCAGGAAUUAGGUGUCUUUUAGGUGUUAUUCAACGCCACCAAAACUAAUUUAGGAGCUCCAUUAGUUUCUGAGUAAUUCGCAAAUAUGUGUUGGUCAGCUAGGUUUGCGUAAA